rnacentral:rRNA from 1 species
AUUGAACGCUGGCGGCAGGCCUAACACAUGCAAGUCGAGCGGAUGAAGGGAGCUUGCUCCUGGAUUCAGCGGCGGACGGGUGAGUAAUGCCUAGGAAUCUGCCUGGUAGUGGGGGAUAACGUCCGGAAACGGGCGCUAAUACCGCAUACGUCCUGAGGGGGAAAGUGGGGGAUCUUCGGACCUCACGCUAUCAGAUGACCCUAGGUCGGAUUAGCUAGUUGGUGGGGUAAAGGCCUACCAAGGCGACGAUCCGUAACUGGUCUGAGAGGAUGAUCAGUCACACUGGAACUGAGACACGGUCCAGACUCCUACGGGAGGCAGCAGUGGGGAAUAUUGGACAAUGGGCGAAAGCCUGAUCCAGCCAUGCCGCGUGUGUGAAGAAGGUCUUCGGAUUGUAAAGCACUUUAAGUUGGGAGGAAGGGCAGUAAGUUAAUACCUUGCUGUUUUGACGUUACCAACAGAAUAAGCACCGGCUAACUUCGUG